AGGGGUGUAGCUCAAGUGGUAGAGCACAUGCUUAGCAUGCAUGAGGUCCUGGGUUCAAUCGCCAGGACCUCCU
rnacentral:tRNA from 1 species